rnacentral:sRNA from 13 species
CUUAUCCUGCUAUUUACGAAGUCUCAAGUUUCACUUGGGAUACGCCCAAAAGAAUCUAUUUAGAUAUGUAAUGAGCAUAGCAAGAGUGGGGUUAA